GGCUUGGUAGCAUAGUGGUAACGCGUUCCAUGGAUCUGCAGCAUUUGCAUAUAGGUUGACGGAAAGUUCGGAGUUCAAUUCUCCAUCAAGCCA